GAUGAACGCUGACAGAAUGCUUAACACAUGCAAGUCGAUUCAACUUACCUUCGGGUAUUGAGGAUGGCGGACGGGUGAGUAACGCGUAAGGAACUUGCCUCUUGGUCUGGGACAACUGUUGGAAACGACAGCUAAUACCGGAUAUUAUGAGAUUCUCGCAUGGGAAACUUAUGAAAGCUAUAUGCGCCAAGAGAGAGCCUUGCGUUCCAUUAGCUAGUUGGUGGGGUAACGGCCCACCAAGGCGACGAUGGAUAGCCGGCCUGAGAGGGUGAACGGCCACAAGGGGACUGAGACACGGCCCUUACUCCUACGGGAGGCAGCAGUGGGGAAUAUUGGACAAUGGGCCACAAGCCUGAUCCAGCAAUUCUGUGUGCACGAUGAAGGUCUUCGGAUUGUAAAGUGCUUUCAGUUGGGAAGAAGAAAGUGACGGCACCAACAGAAGAAGCGACGGCUAAAUACGUGCCAGCAGCCGCGGUAAUACGUAUGUCGCAAGCGUUAUCCGGAUUUAUUGGGCGUAAAGCGCGUCUAGGCGGAAAAAUAAGUCUGAUGUUAAAAUGCGGGGCUCAACUCCGUAUUGCGUUGGAAACUGUUUUUCUAGAGUACUGGAGAGGUGGGCGGAACUACNAGUGUAGAGGUGAAAUUCGUAGAUAUUUGUAGGAAUGCC
rnacentral:rRNA from 1 species